rnacentral:rRNA from 1 species
GACGAACGCUGGCGGCGUGCUUAACACGUGCAAGUCGAACGGAAAGGCCCUGCUUUUGUGGGGUGCUCGAGUGGCGAACGGGUGAGUAACACGUGAGUAACCUGCCCUUGACUUUGGGAUAACUUCAGGAAACUGGGGCUAAUACCGGAUAGGAGCUCCUGCUGCAUGGUGGGGGUUGGAAAGUUUCGGCGGUUGGGGAUGGACUCGCGGCUUAUCAGCUUGUUGGUGGGGUAGUGGCUUACCAAGGCUUUGACGGGUAGCCGGCCUGAGAGGGUGACCGGCCACAUUGGGACCGAGAUACGGCCCAGACUCCUACGGGAGGCAGCAGUGGGGAAUAUUGCACAAUGGGCGGAAGCCUGAUGCAGCAACGCCGCGUGCGGGAUGACGGCCUUCGGGUUGUAAACCGCUUUCGCCUGUGACGAAGCGUGAGUGACGGUAAUGGGUAAAGAAGCACCGGCUAACUACGUG